AUCUUAUCAAGAGAGGUGGAGGGAAUGGCCCUGUGAAACCCAGCAACCGGUGCUUAUGUACUAAGGUGCUAAUUCCUGCAGAAUAUUCUGCAAGAUAAGAA
rnacentral:ncRNA from 2 species